GGAGGGAGCAAUCCGAACAUUGGUCCGUCUAUGUUACUGCCCAGGAAGCCCUAAAGGUACAUGCCAGGACCGAUGUCAAAUAAUGGUUUAGAUUACAGAUACACUGACAAAAAUGAAACGUAUACGACGCUAUAUAAAAGCUACUAGAUGGCAGCACAUGAAAUAUAAUUCAAUUUCUGCUCCACGUCAACAUCUCGAAGCACGAAAAAACGAUGUUUGAAUUUCAAAAAGGAAGUUUGUGAUAGUGAAUAUUUUUUCAGAAAUGUUAUAUCAAUACAAGAAAUCAUUAUGCACUUUAUAUACAUCACGUGAUUUCUGCACACAUACGCAGUCGCCAUGGUAAUAUCAAACACUGGAAACGACUAGUAACAACCGGAUUUUAAGCAUCGUGUUCAAUAAAUUAUUCUUAAAAUGGUUCUUGAUAUGCCAACAGAUAAAGGUUUCCGAAUAUAUCUACAUAAUAACCGGGCUAUAACCAUUUGAAGAUAAACAGUUUUGUUAAAUACUUCUCGAGAGUAAACCCUUUUUUACGGAAGUAAACUAAUAAAAACGUUCUCUUAUA